rnacentral:lncRNA from 1 species
GCUUGACCCUAGGCUAGUCCUAGUGGUCCUUUGGACUUAUGUUGAGUUCAUCUGUUUCAGGUUGAGCACAAUGCUUCAAAGAUCACUCAAACUUGUUUGAAUUUGAUUUGUUUACCCCAUGCUAACCUUUGUUUUGCAGAUGGUUUGACUCAUAACUUGAGUCUUAUGCUUUGCUCAGUUGACCCCCUGUGUUGACUGUUUGCCAUUUCUUUUGAUUUAAACUUUUGACUUGUUUACUAAUAAGUUUGACUUUUUCAGG